rnacentral:rRNA from 1 species
UACGUAGGGUGCAAGCGUUGUCCGGAAUUAUUGGGCGUAAAGAGCUCGUAGGCGGUCUGUCACGUCGGCUGUGAAAAACCCGAGGCUCAACCUCGGGCCUGCAGUCGAUACGGGCAAACUAGAGUACUGCAGGGGAGACUGGAAUUCCUGGUGUAGCGGUGAAAUGCGCAGAUAUCAGGAGGGAAACACCCGGUGGGCGAAAGGCGGGGUCUCUGGGGCAGUAA